rnacentral:lncRNA from 1 species
GGAUGCAGCUUGGGAUCCCGGCCUCGCCACCGCCUGGUCGCGCGACACAGGCUGAACCCUGCCCAACCCUAAGGUGGACAACAGGCCACCGGUUCCCGAGUCCUCCCGGUCCUAAGCCUUCUGCCCUAGAGAUCGUAGGAACUCUUCUCGUGAUCCCAGCUCCAGUGUCGGCUCCCUCUUCCAGGGGAGACCCUCGGGGCCCAAGCACCUGCCACCGCCCUCUGCUGGACCCCAGCUUCGCCAUCUACGAAGGAAGCGGCCUGUCCGAGCUCUGAGGUCCGUCAAGCGCGGCACCUCAGGACCCAGAGUGCGCUGUCCUGGCCCCUCUGCAGUAGGACUGACGGGAAGCUGUCGAGGGGGCAGUCCCGCGAUGGCAGCAGGGCCCCCACGCCUGGCGUCCUCAUCGCGCCCACCCAGCAGGGCUCACCAGCCUCCCUAGGAAGCAGGCAGGGGUCCUGGGCUCAAACGCUGCCCCACCCAUCAUCGCCCAGGCAACCAGCUCCCUAAGGGCUCCCCGGACUAGACAGAGACCCACCCCACUUCCGCAGAGUAAAACCUAUAAGGGGGUCCGUGCCGAUCUCUCCUAGGGACUCAGGGACGAAACCUGGGAACCCCGGCCCCCUUUCGAGCUCGCUGAGCGCUCGAGAGAGUGAGCAGAGCCAUGAAAGGAAGGAGAGCAGCCCUAAAAUUUUAAAUCUUUAAUUUCCGUUUUCACGUAUUUUCUUCUUGCUUCCAAAAGGAAAGGAGUGCGUAGCUCUGUUGCCUGUACAUCGUCCACAGCCCCUGGGUCGGGGCGGGGUCCCCUGGGCCGCCCGGGGGGUCCACAUGCAGCCCCUGGGUGGGGGCCGGCGCGGGGUGAGGUCCGGGGGCCGCCUUAUUGCUGAGGUCCGGCCGGUUGGGGCCGCCGCUAGGCGCGCUGGCUGGGCAGCUCCUGGGAGAUGAAGCGACGCAGGCGCUCCAGGUACUGGCUGUAGAGCUCGAUGUCGUUGUGCCCGGCGCCCUCCACCCACAGCGGCUCCACCGCCUUGGGGCAGCGCUCGUAGAGCGCCAGCCCGUGCGAGAAGUCGAUCACCUCGUCCUCCGUGCCGUGGAUGAUGAGCACGGGAGACGUGAUCUUGGACACCUUCUCGAUGCUGCGGGAGGGUCGUGGAGCCGGUGAGACUU